GGAUUGUGGCUCAGCGGUAGAGCGCUCGCCUAGCAUGGGCGAGGCCCUAGGUUCAAUCCCCAACACCA
rnacentral:tRNA from 1 species